UACGUAGGGCGCGAGCGUUGUCCGGAUUUACUGGGCGUAAAGAGCGCGCAGGCGGCUGGUCAAGUCCGAUGUGAAAUCUCCCGGCUUAACUGGGAAACUGCAUCGGAAACUGAUCGGCUUGAAGGUGGGAGAGGGUAGUGGAAUUCCCGGUGUAGUGGUGAAAUGCGUAGAUAUCGGGAGGAACACCAGUGGCGAAGGCGACUACCUGGCCCAUUCUUGACGCUGAGGCGCGAAAGCUAGGGGAGCGAACGGG
rnacentral:rRNA from 1 species